CGAUCUAGAUGACCUGCUGAAGUCCACACUGAGCAUCAAAAUGGUAAAGAAAGACGAUCUAAGUGAUUUUGAACUUGGCAUGAUUUUUGGUGUCAGAUUGGUUGGUCUGAGUAUUUUAAAAAACUGUUGAUUUACUGAGAUUUUCCCACACAGUGAUCUCUACAGAGAAUAGUGCGAGCGAGGAAAUAUCAGGUGAGUGGGAGUUCUCUGGGUGGAAAAAGGCCUUUCUGAUACCACAGGUCAGGGGAGCAUGACUGCUAUAAGCUGAAGGCUGGAGUCACUCAAAUGACCAAUCAUUACAAUCAAAGUAGGCAGAAGAGCAUCUCUGAAUGCACAGCACAUUGGGCCACAGCAGCAGAAGAGCACACUGGGUAGCACUCCUGUUAGCUAAGCACAGAAAACUAAGGUUACAACCAAAGUCGGACAGUAGAAACCUUAAAAUAAACAACAUUCAAAGAUUUAUUACCUCCCAUACUGUCAGAGCACUGGACAGUCACAUGUCUGUAUGAUCAUGGAGGGAGUUUUCUAAUGUUUGACCCUAAACGCUGCUUCUGUCUCCGUCCUAUUUGUGCUUUGCUCAUCAUUUAAAGCCUGCAUGCUUCGCUCAGGAGCAACAUCUGUCCCAGACAGCCACUUUGACUUUAACGUGCUUCUUUCUGUAAUACAUGUAGCGUUGCAUUAACACAAUCCUGUACAUGAUUCUGUUUAUUAAUAGUAGCUGAAAGCAGAAAUGAAAUAGCAGCUAACAUGCAUUACUGUGAUGUUUUGACCUAGUUUCAUUUGUUCACUACUUGACCAUAUCAUUCAACUAUAUCAUCACAUGCACAUUUACCGCAGUGACAACCUUUCAGAUCUAUACUGAAGACAAGAGCAACAGCCGCUCUGUGUCUUUGCUUGUUUGGUCUGGUGUCUAAUUUUACAUUUCUGUCUGUUUACCUGUCUCUCUGUCGCAGUUUCAGUUUUCAACUGUCUGCUUGUAGCUGAGGAACUAUGUUUUAAUGCAGCUUUCAUACAAGAUCAGAGGUCUGGAGUUGGACUGGGUCAUUGCGACACCUCAUUCUUUACUUUCCGUUGUAGAUUUGCUGCUGAGUUGUGCUUGGGAUCAUUGUCCUGUUAGAUGACUCAGGUUGAGCGAGGCUUUAGCUGUCAGACAGGUGGCCUCACAUUCGACUCGAGUAUACUUUGGCACACAGCAGAGUUCAAGGUCAACCCAAGGUAAUGUACCCAAGGUAAGGUCGUGUGCCUGCAACAAGCCCAAGUCAUCACCCCCCCGCCACCGUGCUGACAGUUGAUAUGAGGUGUUUGUGGUGAUAUGCUCGUUUAAUUUUAGCCGAACGUGGUGCUGUGCAUUAUGACCAAACAUCUCCACUUUGAUCUUUGUUCCAGAUGUCUUGUGGUUUGCUGAGAUGCAAGUUUGCAAAGUUAACCCAAGCUGCUCUGCUCUUUGAAAAGAGGGGCUUGUUUUAAGGAAACACUUCCAAUCAAGCCAUACUCGCUGUCUUUUCUUUCAUAAACUUUAACGUUUAACAUGAUACUUGAGGCCUGUGGCGUCUGAGAUGUGACACUUUUUGUCACAGACCUCAUGAGAACAUAAUGUAUUAAAACACACCUGAAUGCUCCAGACCAGCAAAGCCCCCUUUUAUAGAGGCCCUCACACGUGCUGAUGAUCAGUUGAUGAUUAGCAGCAUCUCGCUGCUAUCUUUGACAAUCAGAGGCAGUAAGGGUGCGUUGAGUGUCUGUUAAAGAGAUCAUGACACGGUGUAAUAGGUCACGUGUGGGUUACACAUUUGGUUGACAAGCACCUCAGUUAAGUUCCAGGAGGAAGCACAGAUCCCUUUGGGAUUACAUCAAGAAUCCCAUGUAAAAGGCUGGCAAAACAAACCAGCAGAGCUUUCCGCUGUGACGAAACGUGGCUGUUAGCGUUCAUCUGAGACUUAAAAAAUAUUUUUUAAAGGUGUAAAGGGUUAUUAUGAUACAUUAUUAUAUCCUUAUAUCUAAAACCUGUGAUGUGAAAGCCUCUGAGGGGUAUAAACACUGUGGCCGAUGUGCUUUAGCACUAAUGUUGUGAUUAAAAUGAAGACCCUCCAGUUUAGUCAUUGGCUGAAUGUUAGUUGACAAUUAGAAGCAGUUGCUUGUUGCGCUUCCCUGUCUCGGCACUUCUACCUUGACUCCACUUCUACUUGAUACUUUUUCUCUUGUGGUUUGAUGAUUAGUGUGUCAAAGGAUUGCAUUCAGCAGGUUUCGUUUUCUUCUGGGUAUAACGUCUUGAUUUGUUUGGACAUUGCUGCAGCUAUGGACCAGAGGGCUUUGUGGUUUGCUCUGUUUCUGCCUCUGUCUUUGAGUUUUGACACUGAAGGUACUGUAUGAUUACACACAUCCCAUCAGUUUUAAAGUCUUGUAGAAUAACAGCAGACUAUAGCACUGACCUAUUGUUCUUAAAGUAGCCUUUAACCCCUUUUUUGGAGACAGUUGGCGCAAUUAGGCCAAAGAGAUCUUCAUUACAUCUUCUUUAAUUGCAGAGACGAUCAUGAGAACCAUUGGGGAACAAAAAGAUGUCACUCCACUUUGUUCCAAGUCUAGAGUGGAUUACAUUUGGAUAGUGUGCACGAUAAAGACAAAAGGGAACAGGCCUAAAGGCUGUCGUCUGCAGUAUCAACAUGGACGGGGCUUUGAGAACGAGUGCGACUCCAGGUUCAGGCUGGUAAAAGAAAACCGAGUCGUGUUUCUCCAGAUGAUCAAUUUAACAGCUGAGGAUAGUGGGAAGUCCACCUGUGAGUGUUCCCGUAGCGAUGGGACAGAUAUUAUCCAUCUCCUUAUCUCGGCUGAAGAAGCUCACACUUCUCCAGUGAGGCAGCUGAUGUCUAUCACUGUGAUUUGUAUAUGUACUGGAAUUGUCAUUGUAGUCGGAGUUGUCCUCGGAUUUAUCCUGAGACAAAAUCGCUGCAGAUACCCUACAAGGAAAGAGCCACCUGUAUCAAUAGGUAAAAUCGAUUAUGAUGCUACAUACACAAGCCUUUACUGGGAGUCAGAUGAGUUCUACCAGACUGUGGGACGUCAGGCUUACAACAGCGAGGAGGCGACAGAUAGAGAUGCAGCCAUCACUACGGUGACCGCCCAGCUGAAACAGGAAAUAGAGAAAAGAAAGAGACAUCAAAGUUUUGACAUAUAUCAGAAUAUACCUUUUUAAGAAACAACGAUUUCUUUUCAGUUUUUUUCUUUUUGUUACUGAUGUGUUCAUAUCUUCAGCUAGUUUUUUGUUAAACUAAACAAUGGAAGAAAACCACAGAGCAAGCUUUAUAUCAUUAAAUCAUUAUUUCCUUUGCUAUGUGCCUCUAGGCCCUCAAUUUCAAUGCAAUAAGAUAUGGGAUCUGCUUUUAGGGUUUUAUAUUCAUUCAAAUUAAAAGCAGCUGUUUUUAACUGUUUGCACUGCUGCGUGUGAGUUGUGUUGUUGUGGCCAGUGUCAGAUGUUACUCCCACACAUAUGCACGUGUUUACAAAAAAACAAAAUCACCAAACGUCGACCACAAACUAAAUUGACCACAGACGUCUUAUAUGAAACUUAAAUAAGAGCCGACAUGAAACAUUUUUGCAUUCAUGCACCUGAAAGUGAGAACUGAGAAGUUGAAGUUUACCCAUCAGCCUUUGUGAAAAAGAGAGUUUCUCAGGACUCCUCUGCACUCCUACGCACCCCCAUCAAAUAGUUUGUAGAAACACUUCUAGCUGAAAUAACUAAGUAACCGUUUUCUGUAUCGGUCGUUUAAAUCAUUUUUAUAUUUUUACAGUGUUGCUUAAGUUCAUUGAUGUUUGGGGACUUUCUUUUAGGCCUUAAGGUCCUACCGCUGCAUUUAAGUUGAGCUUACGUCUCGAUUUGUGGUGUGCUUGGGAUUAUUUUCCUGUUGCAUGACCCAGUUAGGGCCAAGCUUUAACUGUUGUACAGACAGCCUCACAUUUGACUGUAGAAUACUUUGCUACAGAAGGGUUCACGGUCGAUUCAGAGUGCCACGGUCCUGUGGCUGCAAAACAAGUGCAAAACAUCUCCUCCCACACCGUGCUUGACAGUUGGUGUGAGGUGUUUGUGCUGGUUGGCUUUGCAACGUUGCUACCAAAGUUGCGGGUGCACUGCCAUCUUCUUUUCUCCUGGCAAGCUUUCCAAACAAGCCGUACUUGUUCAGUCUUUUUCUAACUGUGCUGUCGUGAACUUUAAUAUUUAACAUGCUAACCGAGUUUUUACAUUUUUCGCACGAUCUGAACUUGAGGUGAAUUUCUUGAGAGGAUUGUGGCAGAGUAUCAGCACAAACCUGAGUGAUCCCGACCUGAAAAGUGUCAAAGCAUCUGUUUGUAUAUAAGUGCUCACACUUUAUUUGUUAGAGUGCAUUUGAUCAGCAGUACGUGACUGCUAACCUGUCCCACGGAGAAAGCAAGAGUGUGUUCAUUUUUUUCACAGGUCUGUGUAGAGUGCUGUGAAAGCCUUUUAACUCACAUCACUGUAUAUGAGACUUAUAGGAACUGAUGUAUUUUAACAGGAAAGUAGAAGCAGUCAGGUUCACUUCUGUUUCAAUCCACGUCACAUCAGGUCACGUACAGGUUACUGUGCCUUAACACAGAGUAUUAAAAGAACGUAGCAGGUAGACUUGAGUUUAAUCUCUUGGCUCUAUGGACGGAUGGAGACGUGGAUGGCUCAUUCUUCUGCCGCUGUGUGUGUGCGCUGACAGCAGAGUGACUCUUGUGAAAACCACUGGAAAAGGGCCAGACAUCACUCCAGUGUGCACCAGUCAGAACCUGACUUUGGUUUUAGUGAAAUGUUGGAUCAGCACAGAGAGACACACAGGGGAAACCUGCUGCCAGCUAUACAGACUACAGCAGCCACUAAAGUGCGGCUGUGACUCCAGGUUCACGCUGAUAGACGUGAAUCACACUGUGUUUCUCCACCUGACCAGUUUAACAGCAGCAGACAGUGGCAACUACACCUGCGAAUGCUCAUAUGAAAGAGAAACUCAGGUUUUAAGUCUUAAUAUCACAGUGGAAUAGGACGACACGUUUUCUGGCAUGAAGUUCAUGGCAACAGUCGUCAUCAUCUCUGCUGUUGCUACGCUCAUCAUUGUGGUUGGGAUAACGUGCUGUGUCACCCUGAGGAGAAAUCCUCCCAGAGAAAACCAACCAGGACCAUCUAACUUAACCAGAUCUGAAACUCUGCAGACUUUGGAUGAAGUGGACCCCUACAUGAGCCUUCAACACCCGACCACUGAUGUCUACCAAACUAUCUCGUCAGGUCGCCCCCAGCAUGACGCUAACUCCAGUCCAGCUACCUGUGAUGUCACAGUGAUGUACAUUAAUACUCAGGGAAUAGAAGGAAAAGAGUUACAUGUUGAUUAUGCAAUCUAUGAAACUGUCAAGUACUAAGUUGGAAAUAUUCAAUAUCUAUUUAGUAUACAAGGUGCAGAUAAUAUCUGUUUAUAAUAUCUGUAAAGUAAAAUGGGUCCUGUAGACUAACAUGUCAAUCAGAGGGCAGAAAAUGUGCUUAGAGGCCUUUUUUGUUCUGUUGUUUUGUUGUUGCAUUUUAUGUAAUUCUGUGUGAAACCAUCAACUCCACAACUGUGAAUCUCAGACAAAUCUAUAUUAUUAUAUUGCUUCAUGUCUGUUUGUUUGAUUAAAAUCACAUUUAAUAAAUACAGAAUUUCUAAUAAAGUAUUUUUAAUCCCAAAUCAAUCACCUCAUCCACACAGCUGCAUCUCACAGACCAGAGGAUUGUACAGCACCACAAACUACCAGAGGCUGUGCAUGUGUCGGGUUUAACAUGCGUGCGCAUUAAUCCUCUGUUGUUGCUUUGAAAUGUUUUACAAAGAUCAAGAUGUGCCCCGCUGGGGUGGGUUUUAAAGUGACCUGAAAGACACUUGAAAAUAGGUAGAUCUUCAAAUUGAAUUUAAAAAAAGGAAAACUUUAUAAAAGAGGGAUGACUGUUCCAGAGAUGGAGAAAGGUGUGUCACUUCUAGAUGUUAAGUGGGAGUGUGGAACCACUAGAGGACUGCAGGGUUUGAGUGGAUUUGGCUGACAGCUGUAAUGUGAGUGUUAUUUGGUAACACAUCAGUUACAUGUAAUAUUUACAUUUCUUGGCGUUUGGUUUUCCUUCAAUGUUUUUGCUUCAUGAAUUAUAAUUUUAAACCAACAAUAAUGGGUGAGGCUACGUUUGAACCCAUAAAAGUACUUCCUGCUUUAACAGCAGCUCAGUCCUCUGAACUUGGGUAGCUGCAGAUAAAUGCAAAGGGGUGUAUCUGACUUCCACCCUGCAGUACAGUAGAGUACAGUGUACACAACCAGCAGCAGUUAAAGAGUUGUUUAGAUGUAUUGACCAGUAUGGGUAGAUGGAAACUGUGGUUUGCUCUGCUUCUGCUGCCGUUCUGUACAGGCAGAAAAGCUGUCCAGGAGCGCCGUGUGAAAACCAUUAGUAAAGAAGCAGAUGUCACUCCACUGUGCACCAAUGAAACAACACAAGUUAUCCUGCUGAUAGUGUGUAAGAUUCAAACAGAGAGGAGCAGAGGAGAAAACUGUAGUCUGAUGUAUCGACAUGGACACGACUUUGAGCAUGAAUGUGACUCCAGGUUCACACUGAUGACAGAAAAUCAGACUGUGUUUCUCCACCUGACACAUUUAACAGCAGAGGACGGCGGGAACUACACCUGUGAGUGU